rnacentral:sRNA from 1 species
CGCAGCUGCAGCACAGCCAUGGCCCAGGCGUCGCCGCCCCGGCCCAAGAGGGUACUCGGCGCCAGCAGUCCAGAGGCCCAGCCCGCGCAGGAGGCGCUCCUCCUUCCCACCGGGCAAGACUCAGCCAAAGGUGGAAAAGUUGAAGGGGUGUUCCCAGCAGAGAGGAUGACACAAAGGCACCAAACCACAAAACGUCAUACGUAAACAUCAUACGCGGCAACCACAAGCCAAUCAGUUGGAUAUUUCAUUCAUUGGUAUACAUAUGCACUGUAAGGUGUCUUUCAGGUUGCAGAAAAGAUGGAAAAAAGGACAUGUGCACUGUGCCCCAAAGAUGUCGAGUAUAAUGUCCUGUACUUUGCACAAUCAGAGAAUAUAGCUGCUCAUGAGAAUUGUUUGCUGUAUUCUUCAGGACUUGUGGAAUGUGAGGAUCAUGAUCCGCUUAAUCCUGAUAGAAGUUUUGAUGUGGAAUCAGUAAAGAAAGAAAUCCAGAGAGGAAGGAAGUUGAAAUGCAAAUUUUGUCAUAAAAGAGGAGCCACCGUGGGAUGUGAUUUAAAAAACUGUAACAAGAAUUACCACUUUUUCUGCGCCAAGAAGGAUGACGCAGUUCCACAGUCUGAUGGAGUUCGAGGAAUUUAUAAACUGCUUUGCCAACAACAUGCUCAAUUCCCGAUCAUCGCUCAAAGUGCUAAAUUUUCAGGAGUGA